GAAACUACUGCUAAGACUGGAUAGGAGACAAGAAGGCAUCUUCUUGUUUUUAAAAGACCUAGCAAUAGGUAUGCUUAGGGAGGAGCUUGCGUCACAUUAGUUAGUUGGUGGGGUAAAGGCCUACCAAGACUAUGAUGUGUAGCCGGGCUGAGAGGUUGAACGGCCACAUUGGGACUGAGACACGGCCCAAACUCCUACGGGAGGCAGCAGUAGGGAAUUUUCGGCAAUGGAGGAAACUCUGACCGAGCAACGCCGCGUGAACGAUGAAGUAUUUCGGUACGUAAAGUUCUUUUAUUAGGGAAGAAUAAAUGAUGGAAAAAUCAUUCUGACGGUACCUAAUGAAUAAGCCCCGGCUAACUAUGUGCCAGCAGCCGCGGUAAUACAUAGGGGGCAAGCGUUAUCCGGAAUUAUUGGGCGUAAAGGGUGCGUAGGCGGUUAAAUAAGUUUAUGGUCUAAGUGCAAUGCUCAACAUUGUGAUGCUAUAAAAACUGUUUAGCUAGAGUAAGAUAGAGGCAAGUGGAAUUCCAUGUGUAGUGGUAAAAUGCGUAAAUAUAUGGAGGAACACCAGUAGCGAAGGCGGCUUGCUGGGUCUUUACUGACGCUGAGGCACGAAAGCGUGGGGAGCAAACAGGAUUAGAUACCCUGGUAGUCCACGCCGUAAACGAUGAGUACUAAACGUUGGGUAAAACCAGUGUUGAAGUUAACACAUUAAGUACUCCGCCUGAGUAGUACGUACGCAAGUAUGAAACUUAAAGGAAUUGACGGGACUCCGCACAAGCGGUGGAUCAUGUUGUUUAAUUCGAAGGUACCCGAAAAACCUCACCAGGUCUUGACAUGCUUCUGCAAAGCUGUAGAAACACAGUGGAGGUUAUCAGUUGCACAGGUGGUGCAUGGUUGUCGUCAGCUCGUGUCGUGAGAUGUUGGGUUAAGUCCCGCAACGAGCGCAACCCUUAUUGUUAGUUACCAGCACGUAAUGGUGGGGACUUUAGCAAGACUGCCAAUGAUAAAUUGGAGGAAGGUGGGGACGACGUCAAAUCAUCAUGCCCCUUAUGACCNGGGCUUCAAACGUGAUACAAUGGCUGUUACAAAGGGUAGCUGAAGCGCAAGUUUUUGGCGAAUCUCAAAAAAACAGUCUCAGUUCGGAUUGAAGUCUGCAACUCGACUUCAUGAAGUUGGAAUCGCUAGUAAUCGCGAAUCAGCAUGUCGCGGUGAAUACGUUCUCGGGGUUUGUACACACCGCCCGUCA
rnacentral:rRNA from 1 species